UACAGGGGGUGCGAGCGUUGUUCGGAAUUACUGGGCGUAAAGCGCGUGUAGGCGGUCUAGCAAGUCAGAUGUGAAAUCCCGGGGCCUAACUCCGGACGUGCAUUUGAAACUACUAGGCUAGAGUGAUGUAGAGGAUGGCGGAAUACCCAGUGUAGAGGUGAAAUUCGUAGAGAUUGGGUAGAACACCGGUGGCGAAGGCGGCCAUCUGGGCAUUAACUGACGCUGAGACGCGAAAGCGUGGGGAGCAAACAGG
rnacentral:rRNA from 1 species